UACGAAGGGGGCUAGCGUUGCUCGGAAUCACUGGGCGUAAAGCGCACGUAGGCGGCUUUUUAAGUCAGGGGUGAAAUCCUGGAGCUCAACUCCAGAGCUGCCUUUGAUACUGAGAAGCUUGAGUCCGGGAGAGGUGAGUGGAAUUCCCAGUGUAGAGGUGAAAUUCGUAGAUAUUGGGAAGAACACCAGUGGCGAAGGCGGCUCACUGGCCCGGUACUGACGCUGAGGUGCGAAAGCGUGGGGAGCAAACAGG
rnacentral:rRNA from 1 species